rnacentral:rRNA from 1 species
GGGGGGAUCUAUACAUGCAGUCGAACGCUUCUUUUUCCACCGGAGCUUGCUCCACCGGAAAAAGAAGAGUGGCGAACGGGUGAGUAACACGUGGGUAACCUGCCCAUCAGAAGGGGAUAACACUUGGAAACAGGUGCUAAUACCGUAUAACAAUCAAAACCGCAUGGUUUUGAUUUGAAAGGCGCUUUCGGGUGUCGCUGAUGGAUGGACCCGCGGUGCAUUAGCUAGUUGGUGAGGUAACGGCUCACCAAGGCCACGAUGCAUAGCCGACCUGAGAGGGUGAUCGGCCACAUUGGGACUGAGACACGGCCCAAACUCCUACGGGAGGCAGCAGUAGGGAAUCUUCGGCAAUGGACGAAAGUCUGACCGAGCAACGCCGCGUGAGUGAAGAAGGUUUUCGGAUCGUAAAACUCUGUUGUUAGAGAAGAACAAGGAUGAGAGUAACUGUUCAUCCCUUGACGGUAUCUAACCAGAAAGCCACGGCUAACUACGUGCCAGCAGCCGCGGUAAUACGUAGGUGGCAAGCGUUGUCCGGAUUUAUUGGGCGUAAAGCGAGCGCAGGCGGUUUCUUAAGUCUGAUGUGAAAGCCCCCGGCUCAACCGGGGAGGGUCAUUGGAAACUGGGAGACUUGAGUGCAGAAGAGGAGAGUGGAAUUCCAUGUGUAGCGGUGAAAUGCGUAGAUAUAUGGAGGAACACCAGUGGCGAAGGCGGCUCUCUGGUCUGUAACUGACGCUGAGGCUCGAAAGCGUGGGGAGCAAACAGGAUUAGAUACCCUGGUAGUCCACGCCGUAAACGAUGAGUGCUAAGUGUUGGAGGGUUUCCGCCCCUUCAGUGCUGCAGCUAACGCAUUAAGCACUCCGCCUGGGGAGUACGACCGCAAGGUUGAACAGAAAAAAUAGGGAGG